rnacentral:misc_RNA from 1 species
GUGAAGAACGUAGCGAAAUGCGAUAAGUAGUGUGAAUUGCAGAAUUCAGUGAAUCAUCGAAUCUUUGAACGCACAUUGCGCCCCUUGGUAUUCCAUGGGGCAUGCCUGUUCGAGCGUCAUUUGUACCUUCAAGCUUUGCUUGGUGUUGGGUGUUUGUCCUGAGGGACUCGCCUUAAAGUAAUUGGCAGCCAGUGUUUGGUUUUGAAGCGCAGCACAAGUCGCGAUUCAAAGCUAUACGCCCGCUUCCACAAGCCUUUUUCACUUUUGACCUCGGAUCAGGUAGGGAUACCCGCUGAACUUAAGCAUAUCAAUAAGCGGAGGA